GUCCAAGUAGCUCAGCGGUAGAGCAGGCGGCUGUUAACCGCCUUGUCGCAGGUUCGAUCCCUGCCUUGGACGCCA
rnacentral:tRNA from 1 species